rnacentral:rRNA from 1 species
UACGUAGGGACCAAGCGUUGUUCGGAUUUACUGGGCGUAAAGGGCGCGUAGGCGGCGCGGUAAGUCACUUGUGAAAUCUCUGAGCUUAACUCAGAACGGCCAAGUGAUACUGCAGUGCUAGAGUGUGGAAGGGGCAAUCGGAAUUCUUGGUGUAGCGGUGAAAUGCGUAGAUAUCGGGAGGAACACCUGUGGCGAAAGCGGCGCACUGGACCACAACUGACGCUGAGGCGCGAAAGCUAGGGGAGCAAACAGG